GACGAACGCUGGCGGCGUGCCUAAUACAUGCAAGUAGAACGCUGAAGCUUGGUGCUUGCACCGAGCGGAUGAGUUGCGAACGGGUGAGUAACGCGUAGGUAACCUGCCUGGUAGCGGGGGAUAACUAUUGGAAACGAUAGCUAAUACCGCAUAAGAGUAGAUGUUGCAUGACAUUUGCUUAAAAGGUGCGAUUGCAUCACUACCAGAUGGACCUGCGUUGUAUUAGCUAGUUGGUGAGGUAACGGCUCACCAAGGCAACGAUACAUAGCCGACCUGAGAGGGUGAUCGGCCACACUGGGACUGAGACACGGCCCAGACUCCUACGGGAGGCAGCAGUAGGGAAUCUUCGGCAAUGGACGGAAGUCUGACCGAGCAACGCCGCGUGAGUGAAGAAGGUUUUCGGAUCGUAAAGCUCUGUUGUAAGAGAAGAACGAGUGUGAGAGUGGAAAGUUCACACUGUGA
rnacentral:rRNA from 1 species